rfam:Stegodyphus mimosarum contig83501, whole genome shotgun sequence.
GCCUUCGUGGUGUAAUGGUCAGCACACUCGGCGCAUAUUCGAGAGGUUCGAGGUUCGAGUCCCGGUGAGGGCA